UCUUGAGCAAAGAGGCUCCUAAUAAAUAAAAGGUGUAUAAACACCAUACGAAUGUAUAUAUAAUUGACUAUGUAAAUUGUACCCAAAGGAAUUUAAAUACAAAACAUUGCGUUUCAGGUAAGUUACCAUAUAGCAUUCAUGAAUACAUGCUUCAGUAGGCAAUAGUACUAAACAAAAAUUACAAUUACGGAAUGUAAAAACAAUGUAGGCACUCUUUGGUUUUCCAAAUUCAAGGUAAUUGUUCAACAUAAUUCUUUGGGACCAAUCCUGUCUUGCCAUUUAGUGUGCCUUCUAACCAUCCUGGUUCCAAAGAGGCCUUUACUGUAACGGAGAAUUGAAUUCAGUACAUUAAUCUAUAUAUAUAGCAAAUUAUUGACAUAACCUUGACAUAAUCUUUGCAAUUAUUUUGCGUGUUCGCAAAAUAAUUUAGAAAAUUGUAAUGUUACAUAAAUAUUCACAGUUCAUUAUUUAGAAACUGAGAUUAUUCAUAUAUAUCACGUAUUUUACAUACCAUUUGUAAUAAUUUGAUUUGGUUCAAAUGAUAACUCGCCAUCGUUUUCUGCCAAACAGGCAUAUAAGGUACGAACUCUCCUGAAAGUUGGAUAUAGUUAAAUUCCCGCUACUAAAAAAACUAUUUAUAUUACAAAAAUUGGUCAACGGCGAAUAUACACUUACCAAAUACCAGGUACUUGUCCAGGGCUUGAACGUCCACUACUGGGCGAUGUAUUAGGUCUAUGGAAGAUUGUGAAUAUUAAAAGAAUAAGAUAUGUAUGACGGAUGGAGGAGGUACGCAACUGAUUACAGUGAAAAGGAAUACAAAAUCAAAAACUUACACAGAUACUGAUGGAUUAUUUCGUUGAGCAUAGCCCGAUGCAUAAUGUACAGACAUCAUAGAACCACGCUUUUGUUUUACCGGUAAAUCGGAUGUAAAGGAAUGUGGAUCAGACGCAACUGACUCAUUUGAACUACUUGUGUUGCCACUCGUUAAUACUGCACACACAGAAUGGUAGAUAACAUUUGCAUUAGAUAAUUUGACACGGCCACCUCGACUAUCUAAAUAUGUUGGCAUUCUGUGACUUGCGUGUUCUGUUUCUUCAUAAUCUCCGUUUUUUCGAUCAUCGACUGAAGAUGAUUUAGUAACAACCGCUAAUGGACCAUCAUAAUAUGAUCUUGUAACAAGCUAGAACAAAUUAUCAAUACAUGUACAUUUUACCAUCAGAACUUUGAUGUACACUCUAGUUCUCAAAAAUAAAUAUUUUUAAACUCCAA